rnacentral:rRNA from 2 species
AUCGAGCGGAUGACGGGAGCUUGCUCCUUGAUUCAGCGGCGGACGGGUGAGUAAUGCCUAGGAAUCUGCCUGGUAGUGGGGGACAACGUUUCGAAAGGAACGCUAAUACCGCAUACGUCCUACGGGAGAAAGCAGGGGACCUUCGGGCCUUGCGCUAUCAGAUGAGCCUAGGUCGGAUUAGCUAGUUGGUGAGGUAAUGGCUCACCAAGGCGACGAUCCGUAACUGGUCUGAGAGGAUGAUCAGUCACACUGGAACUGAGACACGGUCCAGACUCCUACGGGAGGCAGCAGUGGGGAAUAUUGGACAAUGGGCGAAAGCCUGAUCCAGCCAUGCCGCGUGUGUGAAGAAGGUCUUCGGAUUGUAAAGCACUUUAAGUUGGGAGGAAGGGCAGUAAGUUUUUACCUUGCUGUUUUGACGUUACCGACAGAGGGGGGGGGGGCUAACCCCCCCCAUCAUCCGCAGUAAUACNNAGGGUGCAAGCGUUAAUGGGAGUGGGGGGCGUAAAACGCUC